rnacentral:rRNA from 1 species
CCACCCCACUAGAGGAGCUGUUCUAUAAUCGAUGAUCCCCGCUUCACCUAACCAUCCCUCGCUUACCAGUCUGUAUACCUCCGUCGAAAGCUUACCAUGUGAACGCCCGCAGUAAGCUUAAUGAUUUCACCAUCAACACGUCAGGUCAAGGUGCAGCUUGAAGGGACGGAAAGUAAUGGGCUACAAUUUCUAAUCUAGAACAAACGAAAGACAUAUGUGAAACCCUAGUCAUGAAGGUGGAUUUAGUAGUAAAAAGAAAAUAGAGUGUUACUUUUUAACCCGGCUCUGGGACGCGUACACACCGCCCGUCACCCUCUUCAACUAGCUACCCAGUAUGUUCCUAACCCAACACCACUGUUUUAGAGAGGAGUCGAUACUGGAU